UUAUAAAUCAUAAUUUAGUUAACAUUUGUUUAGACAUUAUUUAGGUAGAAACAAGAUAUAGCGGGUGAGGCUGGGCAGCGCAUCUGGUAUAGUGGUAUCAUAGUACCCUCCCACGGUACUGACCGGGGUGCGCAUUAACCCUUCUUUUUUCUUUUUGAUUUUCUUUUUCAUCUUUAAUUUUAUUUUUGGCAUUCUUUUUUCUUUUUGAUUUUCCUUUUCAUCUUUAAUUUUAUUUUUGGCAUUCUUUUUUCUUUUUGAUUUUCCUUUUCAUCUUUAAUUUUAUUUUUGGCAACCAGAGCUCCAUUUAACAGCACGCAAAGCAAUUGUAUGGGCGCUGUCGUUGAACUCGCAAAUCGCACCACUCCACCACACGCACAAAUUACUCGAACCAGUAAUGCUACUGAUAGCUAACCCCCAGCUCAACGCCAUUGCAGUCAGAAUCAUUCAUUUGCUUGACAAUUGCAUUUCUCAUACUCACAUUCACCAAAUCCAAACCCAACUCAUACUCCAUAAACUCCAUUCUAACACCACUGUUGCUCACCAUUUUAUCACUGCCUGCCAAAACCUGUCCUUUCUGCAGUCAUCUCUCCCUCUCUUCUUUACCCACCUCUCCAAUCCCCAUGUUUUCACUUGUAAUACUCUUAUACAGUCCUUUUCCCAUUCUCAAAUCCCUCAUAUUUCUUUUUCAAUAUACGCCCGCAUGCACACUAACUCCAUUCUUCCUAAUAACUACACGUUUCCUUUUCUUCUCAAGUCAUUGUCUGACUUUAAGGAUCUUACACAGGGUCAAUGUGUCCAAGCCCAAGUAAUAAAGUUAGGUCAUUCAUAUGAUAUUUAUGUCCAGAACUCUCUGUUGAACCUCUAUGCUUCAUGUGGCCAUAUGGGUCAUUGUCGGAGUGUGUUUGAUGAAAUGCCUGAAAGAGAUGUAGUGUCAUGGACUGUUUUGAUUAUGGGGUAUAGGAAUGCUGAGAACUAUGGCGAUGCGUUGAUUGCUUUUGAGCAAAUGCAAUAUGCGGGUAUAGUGCCUAAUCAUGUUACUAUGGUGAAUGUGUUGGGUGCUUGUGCGCGUUUUGGGGCAAUUGAAAUGGGUAUUUGGAUUCAUGAUUUUAUAAGGAGGAGUGGGUGGGAGAUAGAUGUGAUUUUGGGGACUUCUUUGAUUGAUAUGUAUGCCAAGUGCGGGAAGAUUAAUGAGAGUUUGAGUGUGUUCAGAAGCAUGAAAGAAAAGAACAUUUUUGCUUGGAAUGCAGUUAUUAAAGGGCUAGCUUUUGCUAAAUGUGGGCAGGAGGCUGUUAGGUGGUUUUUUACUAUGGAGCAAGAAGGGUUCAAGCCAGAUGAAGUCACUUUUGUUAAUGUUCUUAGUACCUGCAGCCACUCUGGAUUUGUUGAUUUGGGCAAACAGCUAUUUGGUUUGUUGAUUAAUGGGAAAUAUGGAUUUUCACCUAAUGCAAAGCAUUAUGCGUGUAUGGUCGACCUCUAUGCACGAUCUGGGUGUCUUGAUGAGGCUUUCAAACUCAUUAGAGAAAUGCCUUUCUCGCCUACAAAGGCUAUGUGGGGAUCAUUGCUCACUGGGUGUAGAGCUAAUAAAAACUUGGAGUUGAGUGAAUAUGUGGCUAAGAAACUUAUUGAAUUGGAACCGGGGAAUAGUGCUUACUAUGUUGUUCUGUCUAACUUGUAUUCAGAGAUGGGAAGAUGGACUGAUGCUGCAGAAGUGAGGGAAUUAAUGAAGGAUAAGGGACUUAAGAAGGACUUGGGCUGUAGUUCUGUGGAAUCUUCAUCCCAAGAACAUGAUAUUGAAUUAUUAACUUGCUGAGUGCCACGCCAUUCUAUAUGCGUUCAAGGAAAGAGUGUAUUCUUUUGUUGGAUUCAGAUAUUUGUAUUGCUGGAUAAAGAAAUAUCAAGUAUUGUGAUAUUGAUGGCUCUAACAAGUACAACUGGUGGAAUCCAUCGGAAUCCAUCAUUUUUGCGUCCUGUGGUUAAUGGGUAAUUGACCACUUGUGAAACUUGUAACCGAGGUAAAACUACUCUGCAGAAGGAAUAUGCCAGAAGUAGUAUACCUUGUAAUUCCUUCACAAUUUUCUUAGCUUUUGGCUGCACUAGAACAACGUCAUCUAGUGGGUUCAAGAGUUGGAAUCAAGAUCUAUUGGUGAUAUCAGUCCUCAAUAGGUGC